ensembl:snoRNA SNORA63 Small nucleolar RNA SNORA63
AGGCAGGAUCUAGGUACAGUGUAGCGUUGAAGUGCUGCAUUGUGUGUGUUUCCUGCUCUAAAUAAAACUGUCACCUUCCUGGCCCUGCCUGCCAUGGUAUCUUAGCAGCAGGGAUGCUUGGUCUCAUACAU